rnacentral:rRNA from 1 species
AUUGAACGCUGGCGGCAGGCUUAACACAUGCAAGUCGAGCGGGGGAAGGUAGCUUGCUACCGGACCUAGCGGCGGACGGGUGAGUAAUGCUUAGGAAUCUGCCUAUUAGUGGGGGACAACAUCCCGAAAGGGAUGCUAAUACCGCAUACGUCCUUCGGGAGAAAGAAGGGGAUCUUCGGACCUUGCGCUAAUAGAUGAGCCUAAGUCGGAUUAGCUAGUUGGGGGGGUAAAGGCCUACCAAGGCGACGAUCUGUAGCGGGUCUGGGAGGAUGAGCCGCCACACUGGGACUGAGACACGGCCCAGACUCCUACGGGAGGCAGCAGUGGGGAAUAUUGGACAAUGGGGGGAACCCUGAUCCAGCCAUGCCGCGUGUGUGAAGAAGGCCUUAUGGUUGUAAAGCACUUUAAGCGAGGAGGAGGCUACUCUAGUUAAUACCUAGGGAUAGUGGACGUUACUCGCAGAAUAAGCACCGGCUAACUCUGUGCCAGCAGCCGCCGUAA